UACGGAGGAUGCAAGCGUUAGCCGGAAUCAUUGGGCGUAAAGCGUCCGAAGGUGGCACUUCAAGUCUGCUGUCAAAGGUCGGGGCUUAACUCCGAACAGGCAGUGGAAACUGAAGCGCUCGAGUGCGGUAGGGGCAGAGGGAAUUCCUGGUGUAGCGGUGAAAUGCGUAGAGAUCAGGAAGAACACCGGUGGCGAAAGCGCUCUGCUAGGCCGCAACUGACAACCAGGGACGAAAGCUAGGGGCGCGAAUGGG
rnacentral:rRNA from 1 species